UCGCUGUGGAUAACCAGAAUCACCUGGA
rnacentral:piRNA from 1 species